rnacentral:rRNA from 1 species
CCUACGGGUGGCAGCAGUGGGGAAUAUUGGGCAAUGGGCGAAACUCUGACCCAGCAACGCCGCGUGAAUGAAGAAGGUCUUCGGGUUGUAAACUUCUUUUCUAAGGGACGAAGAAAGUGACGGUACCUUAGGAAUAAGCCUCGGCUAACUACGUGCCAGCAGCCGCGGUAAUACGUAGGUGGCAAGCGUUAUCCGGAAUGACUGGGCGUAAAGGGUGCGUAGGCGGGUUGGCAAGUAAGAUGCGAAAGCCAUGGGCUCAACCCAGGCACUGCAUCUGAAACUGUCUUACUUGAGUGCAGGAGAGGCAAACGGAAUUCCGAGUGUAGCGGUGAAAUGCGUAGAUAUUAGGAGGAACACCAGUGGCGAAGGCGAUUUGCUGGACUGUAACUGACGCUGAGGCACGAAAGCGUGGGGAGCAAACAGGAUUAGAUACCCGUGUAGUC